rnacentral:rRNA from 1 species
GAUCAUAGCUCAGGAUGAACGCUAGCUACAGGCUUAACACACGCAAGUCGAGGGGCAGCAUUUCAGUUUGCUUGCAAACUGGAGAUGGCGACCGGCGCACGGGUGAGUAACACGUAUCCAACCUGCCGAUAACUCGGGGAUAGCCUUUCGAAAGAAAGAUUAAUACCCGAUGGUAUAAUCAGACCGCAUGGUCUUGUUAUUAAAGAAUUUCGGUUAUCGAUGGGGAUGCGUUCCAUUAGGCAG